rnacentral:lncRNA from 1 species
CGAGCUGGGAUGUGACAACCUAUUAUUCAGAUAGCACUCAAGUUUUGUUAAAAAUGAGAAGAUUGUUUGGUUGUCAAGCUGAUAUGGCUUCUUCGAGUUCGAAUUCUGCAAGUACGUUUUCGGCAAUCCUUGUUCUUGUUCACAGCUUUAUUACUUAACUUGAUUUUUGGAGUGUUGGUAAUUCAAUUGGCAUAUCAAUGAUCUGUGAUAUAGUUCCUACAACCUACUCAAGCUGGUGGCGAGGUUUCUCUGCCUCCUUCACGAUGUUUACAUCUUUUGCAAGCUUAGAGAACUUCCUGAUGGCAAUGUAAUGACUGUCCUAUGUAUAGGAUUUCAAGUUAAGUUCGGGAAGGGGUGUGGGUGGGGUAGUUUGGAACUUUGUAGGCAAGUAGAAUCUGACAAAAUAGGCCAACGAGUGAAGAGGGCCAGCUCCUGGGUCUGUGCUUGUCAAAACGGGUGAUGUCAUUGCAAUCCGAGAGAAAUUCAAAUUGGCACCUUGGAUAUAUUAGAACAACUUAUGAGUAAUGGGUUAGGAAACUAUUAGCAAGGUGCAAUAGACAACUUAAUUAAAAUUGAAAUAAAUUGAGGAAAGUAUUUAUAAUAGCCAACUAGCCAACUAGCCAACUACAGGAAGAAAAAAAAACAUAGAUUAUCAGGUUUACACUUUGGCAAAAGCAUAUGUAUUGGGUGCUGCUUGUCGUUGAUGUAUAUGGGACUCGCAAGAGGAUCCACAUUUAUCAACUGCUACAUCGAUACUCACAGGCAAGAGUCCAACACACACAUGACUCAUCUACAAUGUAAAAAGCAAUAUGUUGCCAAAAGGGGUUGCACAUGAUUGUGAAGGUGAUACAAGGACAUUGAGAAUCGGAAAAUAUAUAGAGCUUAAGGCCUUUGAAAAUUUUGGUUCGGGCCGGUUGCUGAAGUAUAGAAACCGCGGGUACCCGAAUCGGCCUAUUUGUAAUUGAAAUGGAGGGAUGAGAUUGAUGAGUAAGCUACCAUCUCUAAUCUGAACCGUUAGUUUUAGUUUUACCCUAGGUUCUCGAUCUCUCUCGUCUCGAGCCCUCGAUUAUGUCAUUAGAGACUAGAGCUUGAACUCUCUCUCGCCGUCAAGCGUACGUCGUCCCCUCCCUUCCGUCACUCUCCGUCAGUCAUCUCCUCCACCAUCACGAGUGUGAUCUUGUUAUUUUCAGAAAAGUUUUAUGGGAUUUGCCAGCUGGGUGAGAAUCCAAAUACGUAGCGAACCGUUUUCGCAGAUUUUCCCGAUCCGCAUGUGGGUAUACAGAAUCUAUUCAAUUCUCCUUAUCUCCUCCUCGACGACAUAACAGUCGUCGGACUCAGACUCCGGGUCGCCAGCUCGACCUCCACCACCACCUUCGGAGCUUAACAACCCUCAAGAACCGACCCCUGCGCUGCCUCCACCUCUUCCAUCACUUCUCAACAGCCCCAAUUCCUUCGAUAACCUCCGAUUCCCAUCAAUUUUCUAUCUUUUAGCUUUAUGUUGUGAUGGCUUUUUUUAAGUUACCCAUCAAGUGUUUAAUAUGUUUUGCCUCUGAAGGCUAUUUCUGUUGUGAUGGCUUUUCUCGAUUCCCAUCCAUUUUCUAUCUUUUAGCUUUUUGUUGUAAGGUUGUUUUUGUUGUGAUGAUUGUUUCUGUUGUGAUGGCUUUUCUCGAUUCCCAUCAAUUUUCUAUCUUUUAGCU